UUAUCCACUUCUGAAUCAAUCGACUCUAAUCAGACUGUAAGCGCUCAUGAACGAUCAGUCGACAAUCAACUGCUUGGGUUUUGGAACACUAAUUCUUAUAAAUUUGCACAAGUGGUUCUUUUUGUAACUGUGUUUAGUCUUAUGCAUGUUCUUACCAGUAGGCUUACUAACUCAUUAACAAUACUAACACAUUAAUAAUGUAGUUUGAUCAGUUACAAUAAAAACCACUUGUUGCAGUUUACUUAGGAAGACUUAGCGAAACGGCUCAGAAGAAAACACUUGGGUAAGCAAUGGUCUCUUCAGGAUUGCCCUCAACUUACACACGUGCCUGCAUUGGACUUAUCUUGCUGUCGGAAACAUUAACUCAAUGGUGUUCCUAGAGAAGAUACAUGCUGCAUUCAAUCAAGGGUGUAAUAGAAGAAUGUCAUCCGUCAGUUGUGAUAAAUCAAGACAAAGUAAACUGAUUAGCUCCAUUGUGAAGAUUGCGGAUACAGCAGUUUAGACAUUAAAACAUUCAUU